AACUAAAAUCACUUUGAACCGGCGCACUUAGCAAAAUUUUUAUGUUUAGCGCUCCACCAAAUUAAAAAAAAAAUCCAUUUGUUGCCAAACAAAACCUAAUUUUUCUCAUAUUUGCCUCAUUAUCUUCUCCUCAUACCUCUUCGUUCUCUUCGAGACCUUUAAUUUUUUAUAAAGUAACGCUCUCUCAUUUUUUUUUUGUCUCACCUUCAACCCUAAAUCCCCUUUCUCCAUCUCCAAAAAAACAACAGAUCUAAAAAAACACAGAUCUUCCACUUAUCCAUACUUUGAAGAUCCUCUUCUCCUCAUCGUCUUUCUCCAUCUCCAAAUUGUCGCCGCGUCAUCAAUCUUCCAUAUCUGAGAACGACCGAUGGUACUAGAUCCGCCGGGGGUCAAAAUUUCUCCGAUUUGGUCUGGUUCGAGCUCAAGUAUCCUUCAUCCUGAAUCGGGUCCGUUGGUUUCUCCAUCUAUAGACUUGGCUGGUUUGUUGUGGUUCGAGCUAUGGCGAAGUCUCAAACAGAUCAGAGGAAUAAGAGAGGGAGAAAGAAAGAGUCUUGGUUUGAUGAAUCCUCUAAAAAAAAUUCGUUUCCAAAUCCUUCUUCUUCGUCAUCUCCGUGGGCAUUUGCGUUCCACAUUUUUUCUUGUUACUUCUUCAUGUCUAGCUUCUUGUUCUUCUUCGUAUUCGUGAGUCUCUUUCAAAUCUCUCUAUCAUUAUCAGUUUUCAACUUCUGGGUUUAGCUUACUGUGAAUUUGUGAUGGUGAAGAGACUUGAAGGUGCUAAAACGGUGAUGACGAGUGAAGAAGCGAGUGAUGGUAGAUGUAUCAAAGAUUGUCGCCAAAGCAAGAAGCUGCUUGUUCGCAUCAAGCAAACUCAAGUGAUUGAUUCAUCUAAGAUAUAUCUUCUUAUAAUUGAUGGGGUUGAGAAUGAUGACGAGUCUAACGGGCAAAAAGAGUUUUAUCAUGACCAGGUGAGAUUUUCUAAUUUACCAUGCUCGAGUCUUCUGAAUCGUAAUGUUCAUUGAGAAUGAUGACGAUUCUAAUGGGCAAGAAGAGUAUGUGAUAUCAUUGAAGGAAAGGUAUGUGAAUCAACUGACUCUAUCAUCAGUAUCUUGAAAUGUUGGUGAUGGUUAUGACUAACAUUUCUCUCUUUCUUUAAUUGGAGCGUCAUCUUGUGCUUGGUGUGAUUUCGUGAGGCUAUAAUGCUGCUACUGCUAUUUGUUUUUGGUAAUGGUGAAUGUGUAAAUAAUCUUUAUUAUUGUUGUUCUGUCUAGAUACAGUUGCUAGCAGACUUAAACUUGAAGAAAACUCCCAGCUGGUGGAGUUGGUUGCUGAUAGCAAUAUAAAAUUACUCACUCAUAGUGAAAAUUUUGACUUUGUUUUGAGCACAAGGAGCUUAUAGUGUCAUUCGGGCUAUUCGAGAUUGAAGAGCAUGUUGGGAGUGAAGAAGAAUGUCAUUCAGGCUAUUCAAGAAGCUUGAAGAACUUGUUAGGAGUGAAGAACAUGAUUCCUAGUUGUAUAGUUAGUCUAAGACUUGGUUUGAUAUAACUUGGAUGGUAUGUUCAAACCCUUAUGAUUAGUAUUCUUGUUGUGAAGAGUAGUGCUAAAGUAGUAUAUAGAAGUGUGGAUAUUAGUUUAACUAUUGGAUUGAGACUUACGUUGUAUGAAUUGAUGUUUGGUUUAUGAAAUGAUGUUAUAUCU